CAUAUUCUGUGAGCAAGGAAAGAGGGGGAUCGCAAGACCUCUUGCUUUAGGAGCGGCCGAUGUCGGAUUAGCUAGUUGGUGAGGUAAAGGCUCACCAAGGCGACGAUCCGUAGCGGGUCUGAGAGGAUGAUCCGCCACACUGGGACUGAGACACGGCCCAGACUCCUACGGGAGGCAGCAGUGGGGAAUUUUGGACAAUGGGCGCAAGCCUGAUCCAGCCAUGCCGCGUGAGUGAAGAAGGCCUUCGGGUUGUAAAGCUCUUUCGGUGGGGAAGAAAUUGCUUCGGUUAAUACCUGGAGUAGAUGACGGUACCCGCAUAAGAAGCACCGGCUAACUACGUG
rnacentral:rRNA from 1 species